AAUGACCCCGACUGCCGGCA
rnacentral:misc_RNA from 1 species